rnacentral:lncRNA from 1 species
CAACCUUCAACUUCUCCAUUUCCGUCUUGAGAUUCUCAAGGUUGGCAUUGUAGUUCCGCUUGCGCAAAUAAACAAGUUGGCGUUCUGUUGGAGGAGCCAAGCAUUUUACAAGUUCCAAAACGAGAGUAACAAUGAUUUCCAGCAUCUUGAAUCCUGACAACAAUGUAGAAGUGAAGAAGGCCAAAGGACAGUCAAAACAGAGAGACAGCGUUACGACAAGCAGUUAUGGAGCUAAAAAUAAAUAACAAACAAACAGAAGCAAAGUGUUUUUCGAAUGAGAAGAAGGAAGCAAGAAAAACUUAAAACUAGUAUAAUAAAUUUAUACUAAAACUAGUAUAGUAAAACAAGAAGUCAAGAACCAGCAACUUUUACACACAAAAUAAAACCUUAAAACUAGUAUAAUAAAUUUAUCAUCAAGUUGCAGCCUUCUUAUUCAACAAUUACAGCAUUAUCUUGAGCUCUGUGUUUCUUUUUUUAAAAAUUAUUCAAAAAAAUCUGCAUUUGUUUUUCAACGAUAAAAAUUAUAUUUUUGUCUCAUAUAAUAUAAAAUUAAAAAAAAAACAAACAUAUAUUAAAGGUCUGUUUGGGAUUAUUUUUAGAGGCUCAAAAGUAAUUUUAAAAAGUUAAAUGCUAAUUUUGGUAUUUAAUAAAAUUUUUAGAAGUCACCUUUGGUAAAAUCAUCAAUCCUACAACAAAUUUUGAAAGCAAAUAGUUUUUCAAAUUUUUAUUUUGAUAAUUAAUUUUAUACUUAAUAUAAUUCCAUAUACAUCCCUACAUAUAUUAAUUAUCCUUAUUAAUUAGAAAAUAAAAUUAUUAACUUUAAAGAUAUUAUCAACAAUUACAUUGAGAUAACAAACUAAAAAUAAAAUUAAUAAUAUAAAAUAUUUAUUUUAGUAAUCAAUUAUUAUACUUACAAGAUAAAAAAUAUUUUAUUUAAAUGUUUAUAAAUGUACAAAUAAAUUUUAUUUAAUAUUAUAUUCAAUUUAGUCAUUUACAUUGUCAAUAGGACUUCUAAAAAUAAAUUUUCCUAAAUGUUUAACUAAUUCUCUUCAUAGUGAUUAUUUCCAAACAUAACUACCAAAAAUUACUAUAAUAGAUACAACAUUACCAAAAAAAUAUUGAGAUAGAUUUUAAUUAGGUAAUUGACUUAAUUAUGAAUCAAUUUAUUAUUUCCAUAUGUGUUAUCAAAACCAGCUCAAUAAUGAGAUCACUCUUUUUCUUAAAUAAAAAUAUUUGUGCCAAACAAUUGUUGCAAAAUUUCAAAUAUAAAUUACAAACAACAAAAUUUUCUAAAAUCAUAACAAUAAUUUAUGUUGUGAAUACAUGUAACUAAACCACAUUGAAAUUUUAUUGUUAGUAAAAUUGUUUUUCACGCAAAUGCAGUGACGGAUUCAGUUUCAUGUUUCACCCUCAAUAACUUAAUUUUCAUAUCUAACAAAUCAUCCAUAUUAUUAACAAUAUCAUCACCAAACAUAAUCUACCUAAACAUAAACUAAACAUAACACAUACAUAUAACUAUAUACAUACCGAAUCAGGAAAACAAUGAAAGCUACACGUAUCCGGCUCUACAAUUCCUU